UUAGUCUCACCCCUAAUAAAUCGACCCAAUGCACUGUAGUUCAGGUGGGUUGGUUGGGCCUGUUCAACGUGGUGUAGCGUUGAUCAGUAGAGAUUUAAUAUUACCUUAAUUACUUAACAAUUUUACUGUUUUGGUCAAUAAAAUGUUUUACAACCGCCUUUAUGCAUAUAGCCACAAGCCAAUCUUGAAUCCUCUUGCACGUCUGCAUCAUUGGUGUGGCUUGCUGAGUACGGUGGUUGUACUCAGCCUUAUUCCCUUUUUUAUAAGUGCAGUGCUUCUGAGCUGAAGAUGAAGUUAGAAGACCAAGGCUCAGACCCCAGUUGAGUUUUGCCUGUGGAGUGGAGCUGAAGCCCCGCUAGGAUCGCCUUUUUCCGUUGCUGUCGUUCUCUUUCGGUGUGAGGACUAAGUGCCUCUUCUGUGGUGGUCCAUCAGAUCGUGCAUGAUACCAAUCUUUCGUUGGAGGCAAGUGCAUGAUGAACUAAUUGUGUGAUUCAUAGAUUGUUUGCUCUAUCUAUCUAUUUCCGUUAUAUUUCUAUGUGGUAUGUGACUGGUUAUGUUCAGACUGUUGUUAAUGCCAUUUAGAUUUCAAAUUUAUCUUAUGUCACGACAUUAUUCAUGUUUUAUUAUUUCGGAUGUUUUAUUUCUAUUAUUCAAGGACCAUGCGUAGUCAUGGGAGUGCAAUGUGGAUCUUUAUUCAUGUUCCUGUGAGUAAGUGCUGAUCACGCUUACUCGGCUUUGCCAGCAAAUGCUAGGAUGUAUUCACUAUUGUCUGGGAUGGAAACUACUAUUUCAAUUCAGUCCUGCCCGGGAUGGGAACUACUAUCUUCUUUGACUUGGUGUUUGGAAAUGUGUUUCCUAUCAAAGAAAGAAAGCCUUCUGUUCAUGCUUUAUUGUCAAUGAUGUGUAUAUGUGUUUUCUAGUUCCAUAUUGUACUUGCUGAGUAUUUUUAUACUCACUCUUGUGUUUUACUUGGUUUUAGGUAUGCAUUGAGACCGACAUGCAUGGGCGGGAAGUAGCACCCUUAUAUACACAUCUACUUGCACACUAUCAAACUAUAUUGCUUAGGUCCAUAAUGACACUUAAAUUAUAUCCUGGUUUGGUCUUGUAAUAAUCUUUUAGAUUUCUAAUAGUUUCUUUCAUUAUAAGGAUGGAUCGUAUUGUGGGAAUGAUAUUGUUAUUAGUUUAACUUAUAAUUACC